rnacentral:tRNA from 1 species
GAGCGUGUGGCGGAAUUGGUAGACGCAGUAGUCUUGAAAAGUUUAUUUCUUACGAGUGGACUGUUCAAACUACUGUUGAAAAACAUGUGGGUUCGAGUCCCACCUCGCUUA